rnacentral:rRNA from 1 species
AAAACUUUCAACAACGGAUCUCUUGGUUCUGGCAUCGAUGAAGAACGCAGCAAAAUGCGAUAAGUAAUGUGAAUUGCAGAAUUCAGUGAAUCAUGCAAUCUUUGAACGCACAUUGCGCCCGCCAGUAUUCUGGCGGGCAUGCCUGUUCGAGCGUCAUU